UUCCAGACUCCUACGGGAGGCAGCAGUGGGGAAUAUUGCACAAUGGGGGAAACCCUGAUGCAGCAACGCCGCGUGAGUGAGGAAGUAUUUCGGUAUGUAAAGCUCUAUCAGCAGGGAAUAGAAAAGAAGGUACCUGAAAAAGAAGCCCCGGCUAACUACGUGCCAGCAGCCGCGGUAAUACGUAGGUGGCAAGCGUUAUCCGGAUUUACUGGGUGUAAAGGGCGUGUAGGCGGGACUGCAAGUCAGAUGUGAAAACCAUGGGCUCAACCUAUGGCCUGCAUUUGAAACUGUAGUUCUUGAGUACUGGAGAGGCAGACGGAAUUCCUAGUGUAGCGGUGAAAUGCGUAGAUAUUAGGAGGAACACCAGUGGCGAAGGCGGUCUGCUGGACAGCAACUGACGCUGAGGCGCGAAAGCGUGGGGAGCAAACAGGAUUAGAUACCCUCGUA
rnacentral:rRNA from 1 species